rnacentral:rRNA from 1 species
UGGGGAAUCUUGCGCAAUGGGGGCAACCCUGAUGCAGCGACGCCGCGUGAGCGAUGAAGCCCUUCGGGGCGUAAAGCUCUUUCGACCGGAACGAUAAUGACGGUACCGGGAGAAGAAGCUGCGGCUAACUACGUGCCAGCAGCCGCGGUAAUACGUAGGCAGCAAGCGUUGUUCGGAGUUACUGGGCGUAAAGAGUGCGUAGGCGGUUUUCUAAGUUCGGUGUGAAAUCUCCCGGCUUAACUGGGAGGGUGCGCCGAAGACUGGGAAGCUGGAGUGUGGGAAAGGCAGGCGGAAUUCCUGGUGUAGCAGUGAAAUGCGUAGAUAUCAGGAGGAACACCGGCGGUGUAGACGGCUUGCUAGACCAUAACUGACGCUGAGGCACGAAAGCGUGGGUAGCAAACA